rnacentral:rRNA from 1 species
AAGAUGAUGUAUAGGGGGUGACGCCUGCCCGGUGCUGGAAGAUUAAAUGAUGGGGUGCAAGCUCUUGAUUGAAGUCCCAGUAAACGGCGGCCGUAACAAUAACGGUCCUAAGGUAGCGAAAUUCCUUGUCGGGUAAGUUCCGACCUGCACGAAUGGCGUAACGAUGGCGGCGCUGUCUCCACCCGAGACUCAGUGAAAUUGAAAUCGCUGUGAAGAUGCAGUGUAUCCGCGGCUAGACGGAAAGACCCCGUGAACCUUUACUGCAGCUUGACAUUGAACUUUGAUCUUACUUGUGUAGGAUAGGUGGGAGGCUUUGAAGCGUGGACGCCAGUUCGCGUGGAGCCAACCUUGAAAUACCACCCUGGCAACUUUGAGGUUCUAACUCAGGUCCGUUAUCCGGAUCGAGGACAGUGUAUGGUGGGUAGUUUGACUGGGGCGGUCUCCUCC